UACGGAGGGGGCUAGCGUUGUUCGGAAUUACUGGGCGUAAAGCGCACGUAGGCGGCUUUGUAAGUUAGAGGUGAAAGCCCCAGGGCUUAACCCUGGAAUUGCCUUUAAGACUGCAUCGCUAGAAUUGUGGAGAGGUAAGUGGAAUUCCGAGUGUAGAGGUGAAAUUCGUAGAUAUUCGGAAGAACACCAGUGGCGAAGGCGGCUACCUGGACAAUUGCUGACGCUCAGGGCAC
rnacentral:rRNA from 1 species